GAUUGGAUUCUGUGCAACGAAAAGUUUCUGAAUUCCGUCAGGACCGAAAGGUAGCAGCGGUAGGAACNCAUUUUCGUGUGCCGCAGAACAGUCCGAUUUGA
rnacentral:SRP_RNA from 1 species